rnacentral:rRNA from 1 species
AGUGAACGCUGGCGGUAGGCCUAACACAUGCAAGUCGAACGGCAGCACAGUAAGAGCUUGCUCUUACGGGUGGCGAGUGGCGGACGGGUGAGGAAUACAUCGGAAUCUACUUUUUCGUGGGGGAUAACGUAGGGAAACUUACGCUAAUACCGCAUACGACCUACGGGUGAAAGCAGGGGAUCUUCGGACCUUGCGCGAUUGAAUGAGCCGAUGUCGGAUUAGCUAGUUGGCGGGGUAAAGGCCCACCAAGGCGACGAUCCGUAGCUGGUCUGAGAGGAUGAUCAGCCACACUGGUACUGAGACACGGUCCAGACUCCUACGGGAGGCAGCAGUGGGGAAUAUUGGACAAUGGGCGCAAGCCUGAUCCAGCCAUACCGCGUGGGUGAAGAAGGCCUUCGGGUUGUAAAGCCCUUUUGUUGGGAAAGAAAAGCAGCAGGUUAAUACCCCGCUGUUCCGACGGUACCCAAAGAAUAAGCACCGGCUAACUUCGUG